GUUCUCCGUGUUCUUACGUCCAAACACUUCCAACGAACUACUCCAAACCUCCUAAGGACCUCAAGAAGCUUCCUAUAAGCUUGAAAAGUCCUAAAAAUCAACCAAUAAAAAGUUGAUGAAUAGUACCUAAACCGGAGUUCGUAUUUUCGACGUGAAAACGUUAUAGUUCUUACCUGAAAUUGGUAUGGUUGGACUCGUAUCGUCGAAACGAAGAAGAUGGUGAUUUUUCUUCGUCGAUCUAUGAAGUUUUGAUGAACUUGUUGUUUGGUCCGUGGGUUUUGAGAGAAGGAGAGAGAGAGCUUGAGAGCUUGACGGGAGAGAAUGAGAGUUGAGUUUGAGGGAGCUGAGGGAAAAUAAA
rnacentral:lncRNA from 1 species